AUGUACACGGCUUACCAGGUGGACGAACAUACGUUCAAGGUGUGUUAUCUCUUGGGCAUGUCAGAUUCAGAAUCUGAAGACCCGGACAAGGAAAGGAACUACUUUGUGAAGGCCUCGAUAAACGAAGGCGAAUACUACUGCCAAUGCUGCAAAUUCGAAAGGGAUGGGAUUGUGUCCUGUCACGUACUGAAAGUAAUGGACAUAUACGCGGUAACGCGAUUGCCCCGCCAUUUCAUACGGCGGCGAUGGACUUGGGACGCUGACGAUGUGUUGGGGCCACAAACAUCAAAUGCAUUUUUGGCUGUGCAUGAUGAGAGACCAGAGGCAACCAUGGACGCCGUGAGGCACAUUGUGUUGACCAAGAACUAUGCUGAACUAAUAGAUGAAGCAUGCAAAAGUGAUGAGACAGCGAGGGUGGGAGAAAAACACAGGAAGGCCCUGAAAAGAGAGCUUGAUGAGAUCAAAAAGAGAAAGGCUGAAGAAGCCUUACAAAGGUUCCCCCGCACCUCAAGUGUGCCUUUGUCCAUGGGUCCAUCAUUUGAAAACUCCGAGGUAGGGUCUGGAAUAGCAAGCACGCAAACCCAGGUCAGGAACCCGCCCCGUUCCAUCACAAAAGGGCGUCCAAAAGAGGUGAGAUACAAAUCGGGGUUGGAAAUUCAAGCAAAACACAAGAAGACAAAGAAAGGGACGGGCAAUCCAUAA
rnacentral:rRNA from 1 species